rnacentral:rRNA from 2 species
ACGGAAGGCAGCAGUGGGGAAUAUUGCACAAUGGGCGAAAGCCUGAUGCAGCAACGCCGCGUGAGGGAAGACGGUUUUCGGAUUGUAAACCUCUGUCUUUGGUGACGAAACAAAUGACGGUAACCAAGGAGGAAGCCACGGCUAACUACGUGCCAGCAGCCGCGGUAAUACGUAGGUGGCAAGCGUUGUCCGGAUUUACUGGGUGUAAAGGGAGCGUAGGCGGGCGAAUAAGUCAGCUGUGAAAUCCAUAGGCUUAACCUAUGAACUGCAGUUGAAACUGUUUGUCUUGAGUGAAGUAGAGGCAGGCGGAAUUCCGAGUGUAGCGGUGAAAUGCGUAGAUAUUCGGAGGAACACCAGUGGCGAAGGCGGCCUGCUGGGCUUUAACUGACGCUGAGGCUCGAAAGUGUGGGGAGCAAACAGGAUUAGAUACCCUGGUA